AUUGAACGCUGGCGGCAGGCUUAACACAUGCAAGUCGAGCGGGGUGAGGUGCUUCGGUACUGAUCCUAGCGGCGGACGGGUGAGUAAUGCUUAGGAAUCUGCCAUUUAGUGGGGGACAACAUUCCGAAAGGAAUGCUAAUACCGCAUACGUCCUACGGGAGAAAGCAGGGGAUCUUCGGACCUUGCGCUAAAUGAUGAGCCUAAGUCGGAUUAGCUAGUUGGUGGGGUAAAGGCCUACCAAGGCGACGAUCUGUAGCGGGUCUGAGAGGAUGAACCGCCACACUGGGACUGAGACACGGCCCAGACUCCUACGGGAGGCAGCAGUGGGGAAUAUUGGACAAUGGGCGGAAGCCUGAUCCAGCCAUGCCGCGUGUGUGAAGAAGGCCUUUCGGUUGUAAAGCACUUUAAGCGAGGAGGAGGCUACCUGGAUUAAUACUCUGGGAUAGUGGACGUUACUCGCAGAAUAAGCACCGGCUAACUCUGUGCCAGCAGCCGCCGUAA
rnacentral:rRNA from 1 species